GUGCCUAUACAUGCAAGUCGAACGGAAACGAUGGAAGCUUGCUUCCAGGCGUCGAGUGGCGGACGGGUGAGUAAUACUUGGGAAUCUGCCCAUUAGUUGGGGAAAACACGGGGAAACUCGUGCUAAUACCGAAUAAUCUCUACGGAGGAAAGGGGACCUCUAUUUAUAAGUUCUCGCUAAUGGAUGAGCCCAAGAAAGAUUAGCUAGUUGGUAAGGUAAUGGCUUACCAAGGCUACGAUCUUUAGCUGUUCUGAGAGGAUGAUCAGCCACACUGGGACUGAGACACGGCCCAGACUCCUACGGGAGGCAGCAGUAGGGAAUAUUGCACAAUGGGGGAAACCCUGAUGCAGCAAUACCGCGUGUGUGAAGAAGGCUUUCGGGUUGUAAAGCACUUUCAAUAGAGAAGAAAAGCUUAGUGUUAAUACCACUAAGUCUUGACGUUAUCUAUACAAGAAGCACCGGCUAAUUCCGUGCCAGCAGCCGCGGUAAUACGGAAGGUGCGAGCGUUAAUCGGAAUUACUGGGCGUAAAGAGUACGUAGGCUGUUAGAUAAGUCGGAUGUGAAAUCCCCGGGCUCAACCUGGGAACUGCAUCCGAAACUAUUUAACUAGAGUAUGGGAGAGGUAAGUAGAAUUUCCGGUGUAGCGGUGAAAUGCGUAGAUAUUUGGAGGAACACCAGUGGCGAAGGCGGCUCACUGGCUCGAUACUGACGCUGAGGUACGAAAGUGUGGGGAGCAAACAGGAUUAGAUACCCUGGUAGUCCACACCGUAAACGAUGAAUGCCAGACGUCAGCAAGCAUGCUUGUUGGUGUCACACCUAACGGAUUAAGCAUUCCGCCUGGGGAGUACGGUCGCAAGAUUAAAACUCAAAGGAAUUGACGGGGGCCCGCACAAGCGGUGGAGCAUGUGGUUUAAUUCGACGCAACGCGCAGAACCUUACCAACCCUUGACAUACUUGUCGCGGAUUCCAGAGAUGGAUUCCUU
rnacentral:rRNA from 1 species